rnacentral:tRNA from 1 species
GCCAGCGUGAUGUAACGGCAGCAUGGCGGCUUCCAACUCCGCUCGUCAGGGUUCAAAUCCUUGCGCUGGUGCCA